UUUACUAUCCUUCCCCAGGCUAUUUACACAAAUUGUUCUAAACAAAUUGUUCUAUUUACAGAACAAUUUGUGUAAAUAGCCUGAGGACGUAUAGUAAA
rnacentral:miRNA from 1 species